rnacentral:rRNA from 1 species
GAUGAACGCUGGCGGCGUGCCUAAUACAUGCAAGUCGAGCGAAUGGAUUAAGAGCUUGCUCUUAUGAAGUUAGCGGCGGACGGGUGAGUAACACGUGGGUAACCUGCCCAUAAGACUGGGAUAACUCCGGGAAACCGGGGCUAAUACCGGAUAACAUUUUGAACCGCAUGGUUCGAAAUUGAAAGGCGGCUUCGGCUGUCACUUAUGGAUGGACCCGCGUCGCAUUAGCUAGUUGGUGAGGUAACGGCUCACCAAGGCAACGGUGCGUAGCCGACCGGAGAGGGUGAACGGCCACACUGGGACUGAGACACGGCCCAGACUCCGACGGGAGGUAGCAGUAGGGAAUCUUCCGCAAUGGACGAAAGUCUGACGGAGCAACGGCGCGUGAGUGAUGAAGGCUUUCGGGUCGUAAAACUCUGUUGUUAGGGAAGAACAAGUGCUAGUUGAAUAAGCUGGCACCUUGACGGUACCUAACCAGAAAGCCACGGCUAACUACGUGCCAGCCGCCGCGGUAA